AUUUCAAGAGGAUAUUAUGCUUUUCUGGACCAUAAUUAUAUGAUUAUUACUGCUAGCUGUAGAGCUUUAAGUCAAGCAUAAUAAAAACAAGAAUUAAAGAGCAAGGAGACUUUUUGGUGAAAGGAAAGUAUCUUCAGGAGGCAGGUAAAAGGUGCAAUGAAGACUGAAGAAUGGGAGAAUGGAUACUGUUAUCAGCAGAGACCAGAAGGCUAUAUACCAGGCAGUGGCUGUUACACAGAAAUAUCCUUCCCAAUGGUCUGAGAGGCCCGGUUUGAGAAGAAUGAAAACUGAUUGCAGACAACCACGGAAGCAAGAAGCACCAGAAUGCACUCCCUUUCUUAGAAUUCCUGCAAACUGAAGGGUCAUUGGGUUACCCACUUCCUCUUUUGGGACUAAACUAUUUCCUAAUCUCUUAUCACUAGGGAAUAGUUCUUCCCAAACCAGGUCACCCAAAUACAGUGGUGUGUAAGAGGUGGCUGCUUAAAAACGCCUAUAGCAAUGGGGAAGCGGUAAGAGAGGUAAAAAGAGAACAGACUCAUUAAGUACAAAAAAAUUCAAAUAAAAGAGUAAUAAAAGC
ensembl:lncRNA novel transcript